AAAUACACAAGAACAAGCAAGGAUUUGAAAAGGGCAACUGCGGAUGGAGUCUUUUUUUUUUUCAUAACAGCAAAAGAGUUCAGUACAGUUGCCGCCCUUCCAGGUUGACUUUCAGCCGAUGUGCUUUGCAAACAGCUCCACUCUCUGGCGGGCUGGACAUCUGCUCUGAAAUGACCCAUGAUUUCAGGGUGCCUGCCACUUUAUUGUUACUACAUGCUGCUUACUCAUAAAUGCAACCCCAGUGUCUUAUUUUGUUUUUUUAUUUAAUUGGGUAAACUGACUUACGUUUCAUUGUUUUAACUGGGGAAAGCAAGAUGCAAGAGUCCAAAUAAAUAUUGCCUAUUACCGUGAUCACA